rnacentral:rRNA from 1 species
AAUUAAUAUUAACUUAUUUAAAUUUCAUUAUGUUUUUAUUUAAAAUUAAUAAAAAUAAUUUUUUAGUUAAAAUUUUUAGUAUAUUAUAUAGAAAAAAUAAUUUUAAUAAUAGUUUAUUAGUAUUGUAAAAGAAAGUUGAAAUAAUUGAAAAAUUUUUAUAAAAAAAGAAAAAUUAGUUUUUUGUGCCUUGUGUGUCAGGAUUAAUUAAUUAAAUUUUAUAAAUAUUAAUAUUCUCGAAUUAAAAAGAUUUAAUAAAUUAUUUUAUUUAUUGUAAAAUAAAUAUUAAAUUAUAAUUUGUUAGAAAUGAAAUGUUAUUCGUUUUUUAAUAUAUCUGGUUUUUUAAGAAAUAAAUUUAAUUUAUUAAAUAAAAAAAUUAUUAAUUUUAUUAUUUAAAAUUAAUAAGUAAAUUAUUUAAAUAUUUAAAGGGAUGAGCUUUUAAAUAAAUUUUUACAAUUUUGUAAUAAAUAUAAAAAAAAAUAAGCUUAAAAAUAGUUAUUUUUAAAAAUUAUGUUAUAAUUUAUUUUAUAAUAAUAAUAUUUAUUUUAAAUUUAAAUUCUUUAUUAAAAAUUUUAUUUUAAUUUUAUAAAUGAAAUUAUUAUGAUUAAAUUAGUAAAAUAUUAUUAUUUGUUUAUUAAAAUAAAAAAUUGAAAGAAUUUUUUAAUUAAUUCGACAAAUUUAUAUAUUCAUCUGUUUAUCAAAAACAUUUCUUUUUGUUAUUUAUUUAUAAAAAGUAUAACCUGCCCACUGAUAUAAAAUUAAAGGGCCGCGGUAUUUUGACCGUGCAAAGGUAGCAUAAUCAUUAGUUUUUUAAUUGAGGACUUGUAUGAAUGGUUGGAUGAGAUAUAUGUUGUGUCAUAAAAUUUAUUAUUAAAUUUUAUAUUUUAGUUAAAAAGCUAAAAUUAUAUUUAUAGACGAGAAGACCCUAUAAAUCUUUAUAUUUUAUAAAUUUUAUUUUAUAAGGGUUUUUAUAUUUUAAUUUAUUUUAAAAUAAAUUUUUUAAAAUAUUUUAUUGGGGUGAUAUUAAAAUUUAUUUAACUUUUAACUUUUAUCCUCAUAUAUAAAUGAAUUUUAUUGAUCCAAAUUUUUUGAUUAAAAAUUUAAGUUACUUUAGGGAUAACAGCGUAAUUUUUUUGGAGAGUUCAAAUCGAUAAAAAAGAUUGCGACCUCGAUGUUGGACUAAGAAUUAAUUUAGGUGUAGAAGUUUAAAUUUUGAGUCUGUUCGACUUUAAUAUCUUACGUGAUCUGAGUUCAAACCGGCGUAAGCCAGGUUGGUUUCUAUCUUAAAUUAAAUAAUUAUAUUUUAGUACGAAAGGACCAAGUAUAAAAUUUUAAAAAUUUAAAAAAAAGAAUAAUUUUAAUUUUUGUAUUAAAAAUUUAAAUAAUUUAAAUCCUAUAUUAUUUUAAAAUUAAAUU